rnacentral:rRNA from 1 species
AACGAACGCUGGCGGCAUGCCUAACACAUGCAAGUCGAACGAGAUCUUCGGGUCUAGUGGCGCACGGGUGCGUAACGCGUGGGAAUCUGCGCUUUGGUUCGGAAUAACAGCUGGAAACGACUGCUAAUACCGGAUGAUGACGAAAGUCCAAAGAUUUAUCGCCAGAGGAUGAGCCCGCGUAGGAUUAGCUAGUUGGUGUGGUAAAGGCGCACCAAGGCGACGAUCCUUAGCGGGUCUGAGAGGAUGAUCAGCCACACUGGGACUGAGACACGGCCCAGACUCCUACGGGAGGCAGCAGUGGGGAAUAUUGGACAAUGGGCGAAAGCCUGAUCCAGCAAUGCCGCGUGAGUGAUGAAGGCCUUAGGGUUGUAAAGCUCUUUUACCCGGGAUGAUAAUGACAGUACCGGGAGAAUAAGCUCCGGCUAACUCCGUGCCAGCAGCCGCAGUAA